rnacentral:rRNA from 1 species
UACGAAGGGGGCUAGCGUUGUUCGGAUUUACUGGGCGUAAAGCGCACGUAGGCGGAUUUUUAAGUCAGGGGUGAAAUCCUGGAGCUCAACUCCAGAACUGCCUUUGAUACUGGGAAUCUCGAGUCCGGGAGAGGUGAGUGGAACUGCGAGUGUAGAGGUGAAAUUCGUAGAUAUUCGCAAGAACACCAGUGGCGAAGGCGGCUCACUGGCCCGGUACUGACGCUGAGGUGCGAAAGCGUGGGGAGCAAACAGG